GAUGAACGCUGGCGGCGUGCCUAAUACAUGCAAGUCGAGCGAAGCGGGGACGGGUGAGUAACACGUGGAUAACCUCCUAUAAGACUGGGAUAACCUCGGGAAACCGGAGCCAAACCGGCUACUUAUAGAUGGAUCCGCGCGGCAUUAGCUAGUUGGUAAGGUAACGGCUUACCAAGGCAACGAUGCAUAGCCGACCUGAGAGGGUGAUCGGCCACACUGGAACUGAGACACGGUCCAGACUCCUACGGGAGGCAGCAGUGGGGAAUCUUGCGCAAUGGGCGCAAGCCUGACGGAGCCACGCCGCGUGAGUGAUGAAGGUCUUCGGGUCGUAAAGCUCUUUUAUUAGGGAAGCGGUACCUAAUCAGGAAGCCCCGGCUAACUCCGUGCCAGCAGCCGCGGUAAUUC
rnacentral:rRNA from 1 species